UGGGGUGUGGCGCAGCGGUAGCGCAGCGGACUGUUAAUCCGUUGGUCGCCGGUUCGAAUCCGGCCACCCCAGCCA
rnacentral:tRNA from 3 species